GAUGAACGCUAGCUACAGGCCUAACACAUGCCAGUCGAGGGGAAACGACAUCGAAAGCUUGCUUUUGAUGGGCGUCGACCGGCGCACGGGUGAGUAACGCGUAUCCAACCUGCCCAUCACUUGGGAAUAACCUUGCGAAAGUAAGACUAAUACCCAAUGAUAUCCCACGAAGACAUCUGAAUGGGAUUAAAGAUUUAUCGGUGAUGGAUGGGGAUGCGUCUGAUUAGCUUGUUGGCGGGGUAACGGCCCACCAAGGCAACGAUCAGUAGGGGUUCUGAGAGGAAGGUCCCCCACAUUGGAACUGAGACACGGUCCAAACUCCUACGGGAGGCAGCAGUGAGGAAUAUUGGUCAAUGGGCGAGAGCCUGAACCAGCCAAGUAGCGUGCAGGAUGACGGCCCUAUGGGUUGUAAACUGCUUUUAGAAGGGAAUAAAGUGGGUCUCGUGAGACUUUUUGCAUGUACCUUAUGAAUAAGGACCGGCUAAUUCCGUG
rnacentral:rRNA from 1 species